UGCCUGUGAUGAGUUCCACUUCUGGUCCGUGUUUCUGAGACUUAUGAUUUCUGUGGAAGUUCUGAGGUG